CCAUCCGUGUUGCCGGAUGAAUCAACAAGCUUGAAUAAAGAGCAGCUUGCACAAUGUAGCGAAGUGCGACAAAGCACGGGGUAUAAAUCGCGAGAAGCAUAUCUUCCUGGUAACCACUACCGGGUAAGCGC
rfam:Paraglaciecola psychrophila 170 chromosome, complete genome.